AUUGAACGCUAGCGGCAGGCCUAACACAUGCAAGUCGAACGAGUGGCGGACGGGUGAGUAAUGUAUGGGAAAGUGCCUGGUGGCGGGGGAUAACUACUGGAAACGGUAGCUAAUACCGCAUACCAUCAGAUGUGCCCAGAUGGGAUUAGCUUGUUGGUGGGGUAACGGCUCACCAAGGCGACGAUCCAUAGCUGGUUUGAGAGGAUGACCCGCCACACGGGAACUGAGACACGGGCCAGACUCCUACGGGAGGCAGCAGUGGGGAAUUUUUGACAAUGGGCGAAAGCCUGAUCCAGCCAUCCCGCGUGUAUGAAGAAGGCUUUCGGGUUGUAAAGUACUUUUAGCAGGGAGGCGUUACCUGCAGAAGAAGCACCGGCUAACUACGUGCCAGCAGCCGCGGUAAUAC
rnacentral:rRNA from 1 species